rnacentral:sRNA from 1 species
AAGCUUUGCCGCAGGCAACGACCCGAAGGGCGAAACGCGCAGCGCUGAGUCAUCCUUCCCCCACCACCA